rnacentral:rRNA from 1 species
UACGUAGGGGGCUAGCGUUGUCCGGAAUCAUUGGGCGUAAAGCGCGUGUAGGCGGUUCGGUAAGUCCGCUGUGAAAGUCGGGGGCUCAACCCUCGGAUGCCGGUGGAUACUGUCGGACUAGAGUACGGAAGAGGCGAGUGGAAUUCCCAGUGUAGCGGUGAAAUGCGUAGAUAUUGGGAGGAACACCAGUGGCGAAGGCGGCUACCUGGACCGGUUCUGACGCUGAUGCGCGAAAGCGUGGGGAGCAACAGG